CGACUCUCCCACCCUUUGUGAACGUACCUCUGUUGCUUUGGCGGCUCCGGCCGCCAAAGGACCUUCAAACUCCAGUCAGUAAACGCAGACGUCUGAUAAACAAGUUAAUAAACUAAAACUUUCAACAACGGAUCUCUUGGUUCUGGCAUCGAUGAAGAACGCAGCGAAAUGCGAUAAGUAAUGUGAAUUGCAGAAUUCAGUGAAUCAUCGAAUCUUUGAACGCACAUUGCGCCCCUUGGUAUUCCGGGGGGCAUGCCUGUUCGAGCGUCAUUACAACCCUCAAGCUCUGCUUGGAAUUGGGCACCGUCCUCACUGCGGACGCGCCUCAAAGACCUCGGCGGUGGCUGUUCAGCCCUCAAGCGUAGUAGAAUACACCUCGCUUUGGAGCGGUUGGCGUCGCCCGCCGGACGAACCUUCUGAACUUUUCUCAAGGUUGACCUCGGAUCAGGUAGGGAUACCCGCUGAACUUAAGCAUAUCAAUAAGCGGAGGAAG
rnacentral:rRNA from 1 species